rnacentral:sRNA from 1 species
AGAAAAGACAGGAAUUCUUAAAAGGUGGAAUGGGAGCAGGCUUGAGUCAUGGACCUGCCCGAGCCCCCCCCAGUUUGUGGCCCUGAUAGGUGCCCUCCUUGCCAUCUGCUGCAUGAUCUUCCUGGGCUUUGCGGAUGAUGUACUGAAUCUGCGCUGGCGCCAUAAACUGCUGCUACCUACAGCUGCCUCACUACCUCUCCUCAUGGUCUAUUUCACCAACUUUGGCAACACGACCAUUGUGGUGCCCAAGCCCUUCCGCCCGAUACUUGGCCUGCAUCUGGACUUGGGUAGGUAGUCCUACCACUGCUGCCCCUAUGGCACCUACUUCAGGGAACCCUUCCUGGUGCUCCACAUUCUCCUCCAAGUGUUCCUUUUCUGUCUCUGUGUCUUCCCAGAUCCUUUCUGGUAGCCCUUCAUCCUAUCGUCCGUCCUCACCACUUUUCUAAAAAUUCUUAAAUCCUCCUCCCCUAGGUGGCACUACUUCUUUUCCUACCAUUUCUCCCCGCAGGAAUCCUGUACUAUGUCUACAUGGGGCUGCUGGCAGUGUUCUGUACCAAUGCCAUCAAUAUCCUAGCAGGAAUUAACGGCCUAGAGGCUGGCCAGUCACUAGUCAUUUCUGCUUCCAUCAUUGUCUUCAACCUGGUAGAGUUGGAAGGUGAUUGUCGGGAUGAUCAUGUCUUUUCCCUCUACUUCAUGAUACCCUUUUUUUUCACCACUUUGGGAUUGCUCUACCACAACUGGUAAGUAGGCCUGUGGAUAAGGGGACAACUACCUGAACACAUGGCAAAGAUGGCCCUUAUCAUAACCCACCUUGUGGUGGUGAAGCUAAACCUGCGCAUACCUCUAUGGAGUUUUCUGCGUCUUCAGUUGGUAGUAUUCUGAAAUUUCUCUCUACCCAGUAGUAGUUAGGGAUGAGUGCGUGGAGGCCCCAGGAAUAGUUGAAUUCAGGGCCUUGGAUCCUGCAGAGUUGCUGCACAACUGGAGUCUCCUCUGAGUCAGAACUAGGGUCAGGGCUAGUCCAGUGCCCAUAGGGUGUGAUGUGAGAGAAGGGAUUGGUAAUGCCUCUUGC